rnacentral:tRNA from 1 species
GGGGGUAUAGUUCAGUGGUAGAAUGAGUGCUUGGCGAGCGCAAGGUCCUAGGUCCAAUCCCCAGUGACUCUG